GAAAGUGAAGAAAAAAACAUUGACUGACAUAAAGAAGAAACGUGUGAUUUUCAAUUCAAAUCAGACCUUUAAAUGAACUUUCAUGAAUCUGGUAUUUUUCAUUAUUAUUGUGAAUAAAUGUAAGGCAUGAAAUCGCCGGUUUAACACUAAAAGUUUGAUAGUGUGAGUAUUGUGGGCUGACGUCACUUUGAUUCCUUGAAGUGAGGCAGAAUAAACCCUGAAAGGACAAACACACACACACACACACGCACAGACAGUCACUCACUCACGCGCGCGCACACACACACACACACACACACACACACACAGAGAGAGACUCAAUUACUGGCCAAUUCUCUUCUUCAUCAUCUCCUGCUACACUGGCCUCUCACAAAAGCACGACGAAACAGGAAAACAAAGAUCAAGCGAUACUUCGCUCUGGAUCGAGUCGGAAUUACGUCAAGCGUCCAAACUAAAACGUGGUCGAGCAGUGAUGUCACACAGCUGAGGACACUCCCACUCAAUAUGGAGUCUGGAGAACGACUGGCCUCGCCUUCCUCCACCCCACUCUCUGUCCACGCCACCACCUCUGCGCCCUCAUCUUCCUCCUCCUCUUCAUCAUCAGCAGCCUCCAAUGCCAAGAGUAGCCUGAACCACGGAGCCACGGCCACGCUCGGCACAUGCGGUAAUGGCUCACACACACGCACACUCUUUCAUGGCCUGACGCAAGGGUUGCUUAUUGUUACAGUCUGAGAAGUGCUCAGUCAAAACUCA